CAUGCAAGUCGAACGAACCUUCGGGUUAGUGGCGGACGGGUGAGUAACGCGUGAGAAUCUGCCCUCAGGAGGGGGAUAACAGUUGGAAACGACUGCUAAUACCCCAUAUGCCGAGAGGUGAAAUGAAUUUCGCCUGGGGAUGAGCUCGCGUCUGAUUAGCUUGUUGGUGGGGUAAUAGCCUACCAAGGCUUCGAUCAGUAGCUGGUCUGAGAGGACGAUCAGCCACACUGGGACUGAGACACGGCCCAGACUCCUACGGGAGGCAGCAGUGGGGAAUUUUCCGCAAUGGGCGAAAGCCUGACGAAGCAACGCCGCGUGAGGGAUGGAGGCCUUUGGGCUGUAAACCUCUUUUCUCAAGGAAGAAGAUCUGACGGUACUUGAGGAAUAAGCCACGGCUAAUUCCGUGCCAGCAGCCGCGGUAAUACGGGAGUGGCAAGCGUUAUCCGGAAUUAUUGGGCGUAAAGCGUCCGCAGGCGGCCGUUUAAGUCUGUUGUUAAAUCGUGGAGCUCAACUCCAUCACGGCAAUGGAAACUGUUCGGCUUGAGUAUGGUAGGGGCAGAGGGAAUUUCCGGUGUAGCGGUGAAAUGCGUAGAUAUCGGGAAGAACACCAGUGGCGAAAGCGCUCUGCUGGGCCAUUACUGACG
rnacentral:rRNA from 1 species